CGUGGGGAACCUGCCCCAUAGUCUGGGAUACCACUUGGAAACAGGUGCUAAUACCGGAUAAGAAAGCAGAUCGCAUGAUCAGCUUUUAAAAGGCGGCGUAAGCUGUCGCUAUGGGAUGGCCCCGCGGUGCAUUAGCUAGUUGGUAAGGUAAAGGCUUACCAGGGCGAUGAUGCAUAGCCGAGUUGAGAGACUGAUCGGCCACAUUGGGACUGAGACACGGCCCAAACUCCUACGGGAGGCAGCAGAC
rnacentral:rRNA from 1 species